GGUUUUUUGAAUUAUAAUUUAAGAUUAGUUCUGCUCAAUGAUUUAAAUUAAAUAGCCGCAGUAUUUUGACUGUGCUAAGGUAGCAUAAUCAGUUGUUUUUUAAUUGAGAACUGGAAUGAAGGAAUUGAUGAGAUUAAGACUGUCUAUUGUAGAGUAUUAGAAUUUAAAUUUUAAGUAAUAAUUCUUAAAUAAAAUUAUGGGACGAGAAGACCCUAUAGAAUUUGAUAUAGUUUUUUAAAAUAUAAAUAUUAAGAAUUUAAUAAAAUUAAUAUUUUAUUGGGAGGAUAAUUAAAUUAAAUUAACUUUAAUAUUAAAAUUAAACAUUAAUUUAUGAUGUAUAUUAAUGAAUAAUUUUAUUGUAAAAAAUAAAAUUAAUAAAAAAUUAAUUACCUUAGGGAUAACAGCGUAAUAUUUUUAAAAAGAUCAUAUUGAUAAAAAUGUUUGCGACCUCGAUGUUGAAUUAAAAUAAAAAUUAAAUGAAGAAGUUUAAUAUUUUAGUCUGUUCGACUAUUAAAAUUUUA
rnacentral:rRNA from 1 species